rnacentral:rRNA from 1 species
AUUGAACGCUGGCGGCAGGCCUAACACAUGCAAGUCGAGCGGAUGAGGAAAGCUUGCUUUUCGAUUCAGCGGCGGACGGGUGAGUAAUGCCUAGGAAUCUGCCUGUUAGUGGGGGAUAACUCGGGGAAACUCGGGCUAAUACCGCAUACGUCCUACGGGAGAAAGUGGGGGAUCUUCGGACCUCACGCUAACAGAUGAGCCUAGGUCGGAUUAGCUAGUAGGUGGGGUAAUGGCUCACCUAGGCGACGAUCCGUAACUGGUCUGAGAGGAUGAUCAGUCACACUGGAACUGAGACAUGGUCCAGACUCCUACGGGAGGCAGCAGUGGGGAAUAUUGGACAAUGGGUGAAAGCCUGAUCCAGCCAUGCCGCGUGUGUGAAGAAGGUCUUCGGAUUGUAAAGCACUUUAAGUUGGGAGGAAGGGUAUUCACCUAAUACGUGGGUACUUUGACGUUACCAACAGAAUAAGCACCGGCUAACUCUGUGCCAGCAGCCGCGGUAAGAC